AUACGUAUGUCGCAAGCGUUAUCCGGAAUUAUUGGGCGUAAAGCGAGUCUAGGCGGCUUGUUAAGUCAGAUGUUAAAAUGCGGGGCUCAACUCCGUAUUGCGUUUGAAACUGGCAGGCUAGAGUACUGGAGAGGUGGGCGGAACUACAAGUGUAGAGGUGAAAUUCGUAGAUAUUUGUAGGAAUGCCGAUAGUGAAGACAGCUCACUGGACAGAUACUGACGCUAAAGCUCGAAAGCGUGGGGAGCGAACAGGAUUAGAUACCCUAGUAGUCC
rnacentral:rRNA from 1 species